rnacentral:rRNA from 1 species
AGCGAACGCUGGCGGCAGGCCUAACACAUGCAAGUCGAACGAGGUCUUCGGACUUAGUGGCGGACGGGUGAGUAACACGUGGGAACGUACCUUUUGGUUCGGAACAACUCAGGGAAACUUGAGCUAAUACCGGAUGAGCCCUUAGGGGGAAAGAUUUAUCGCCGAAAGAGCGGCCCGCGUUAGAAUAGCUAGUUGGUGAGGUAAAGGCUCACCAAGGCUACGAUCUAUAGCUGGUCUGAGAGGAUGAUCAGCCACACUGGGACUGAGACACGGCCCAGACUCCUACGGGAGGCAGCAGUGGGGAAUCUUGCGCAAUGGGCGAAAGCCUGACGCAGCCAUGCCGCGUGAAUGAUGAAGGUCUUAGGAUUGUAAAAUUCUUUUACCAGGGACGAUAAUGACGGUACCUGGAGAAAAAGCCCCGGCUAACUUCGUGCCAGCCGCCGCCGUAAGAC